AAAUCGGCUCUUCUUAGAGCCACCAUGAUGUACACGUAAAACUUG
rfam:Habropoda laboriosa contig5464, whole genome shotgun sequence.